CAGCCGCCGCGGGAAUACGGAGGGUGCAGCGUUAAUCGGAAUUACUGGGCGUAAAGAGUGCGUAGGUGGUUAGAUAAGUUAUGUGUGAAAUCCCUGGGCUUAACCUGGGCAGGUCAUAUAAUACUGUUUGACUCGAGUAUGGGAGAGGGUAGUGGAAUUUCCGGUGUAGCGGUGAAGUGCGUAGAGAUCGGAAGGAACACCAGUGGCGAAGGCGGCUACCUGGCCUAAUACUGACACUGAGGCACGAAAGCGUGGGGAGCAAACAGGAUUAGAUACCCGGGUAGUCCCUGUCUCUUAUACA
rnacentral:rRNA from 1 species